rnacentral:rRNA from 2 species
UACAUGCAAGUCGAACGAGUUCUGAUUAUUGAAAGGUGCUUGCAUCUUGAUUUAAUUUUGAACGAGUGGCGGACGGGUGAGUAACACGUGGGUAACCUGCCCUUAAGUGGGGGAUAACAUUUGGAAACAGAUGCUAAUACCGCAUAAAUCCAAGAACCGCAUGGUUCUUGGCUGAAAGAUGGCGUAAGCUAUCGCUUUUGGAUGGACCCGCGGCGUAUUAGCUAGUUGGUGAGGUAACGGCUCACCAAGGCAAUGAUACGUAGCCGAACUGAGAGGUUGAUCGGCCACAUUGGGACUGAGACACGGCCCAAAUUCCUACGGGAAGCAGCAGUAGGGAAUCUUCCACAAUGGACGCAAGUCUGAUGGAGCAACGCCGCGUGAGUGAAGAAGGCUUUCGGGUCGUAAAACUCUGUUGUUGGAGAAGAAUGGUCGGCAGAGUAACUGUUGUCGGCGUGACGGUAUCCAACCAGAAAGCCACGGCUAACUACGUGCCAGCAGCCGCGGUAAUACGUAGGUGGCAAGCGUUAUCCGGAUUUAUUGGGCGUUUUGCGAGCGCAGGCGGUUUUUUAAGUCUGAUGUGAAAGCCCUCGGCUUAACCGAGGAAGUGCAUCGGAAACUGGGAAACUUGAGUGCAGAAGAGGACAGUGGAACUCCAUGUGUAGCGGUGAAAUGCGUAGAUAUAUGGAAGAACACCAGUGGCGAAGGCGGCUGUCUGGUCUGUAACUGACACUGAGGCUCGAAAGCAUGGGUAGCGAACAGGAUUAGAUACCCUGGUAGUCCAUGCCGUAAACGAUGAAUGCUAGGUGUUGGAGGGUUUCCGCCCUUCAGUGCCGCAGCUAACGCAUUAAGCAUUCCGCCUGGGGAGUACGACCGCAAGGUUGAAACUCAAAGGAAUUGACGGGGGCCCGCACAAGCGGUGGAGCAUGUGGUUUAAUUCGAAGCAACGCGAAGAACCUUACCAGGUCUUGACAUCUUUUGAUCACCUGAGAGAUCAGGUUUCCCCUUCGGGGGCAAAAUGACAGGUGGUGCAUGGUUGUCGUCAGCUCGUGUCGUGAGAUGUUGGGUUAAGUCCCGCAACGAGCGCAACCCUUAUGACUAGUUGCCAGCAUUUAGUUGGGCACUCUAGUAAGACUGCCGGUGACAAACCGGAGGAAAGGGGGGGGAUGACGUCAAAUCAUCAUGCCCCUUAUGACCUGGGGUACACACGUGCUACAAUGGAUGGUACAACGAGUUGCGAGACCGCGAGGUCAAGCUAAUCUCUUAAAGCCAUUCUCAGUUCGGACUGUAGGCUGCAACUCGCCUACACGAAGUCGGAAUCGCUAGUAAUCGCGGAUCAGCACGCCGCGGUGAAUACGUUCCCGGGCCUUGUACACACCGCCCGUCACACCAUGAGA